rnacentral:rRNA from 1 species
CAGUCGCCGCGGGAAUACGAAGGGUGCAAGCGUUAAUCGGAAUUACUGGGCGUAAAGCGUGCGUAGGCGGUUUGUUAAGUCUGCUGUGAAAUCCCCGGGCUCAACCUGGGAAUGGCAGUGGAUACUGGCAAGCUAGAGUGUGUCAGAGGAUGGUGGAAUUCCCGGUGUAGCGGUGAAAUGCGUAGAGAUCGGGAGGAACAUCAGUGGCGAAGGCAGCCAUCUGGGACAACACUGACGCUGAGGCACGAAAGCGUGGGGAGCAAACAGGAUUAGAUACCCGCGUAGUCCCUGUCUCUUAUAC